CGUGUAGGCGGCUAGUCAAGUCCGGUGUGAAAUCUCGGGGCUCAACCCCGAAACUGCAUUGGAAACUGGCUUGCUAGAGUCCGGAAGAGGAGAUUGGAAUUCCUGGUGUAGCGGUGAAAUGCGCAGAUAUCAGGAAGAACACCCGUGGCGAAGGCGGAUCUCUGGGACGGUACUGACGCUGAGACGCGAAAGCGUGGGGAGCAAACA
rnacentral:rRNA from 1 species